rnacentral:lncRNA from 1 species
CUCGAUCGAUCGAUCUUUCAUCAUAUAUACUGCUCAUUAAACAACACGGUCAAUUAGUACUGCACCACAUCGAUCUACAGUACAUAUAAAAAGACAUGAAAUCGCAUUCCAUGAAAAUUAAUUCUGCUCCAAAAGCAAUCAAACAAAAUAAAAACUGAACAAACUAAUCUCAUAUAGAUAGAAGGAGAGAGAAAGAGAAAAGAGGUAUUACAUGGAUCGAUCUUCUUAUAUAUAUAUGAUGAAAACAAACAUGCCAUAUUAAUUCCAACACAUCAAAUAAUUAAAAUACUCCAUAUAUAUAUAUAUAUAUAUAUAUAUAUAUAUAUAUAUAUAUAUAUAUAUAUUAUGCGUCGAUCUUUUUCAAUCAGCUAUAUUAGCAAGUGCAUAAAACAAAAACCAGCAGCAGAUAUUAGAUCACACACAAACACACACAUAUAUAUUAAGUAGCCAAAAUUAAAAGUAAAAGCUUGAAAACUAAUUAAACUUGUAUCAUGAAUUGCUGAUAGCUUGAAGUAGCAAGCAAGCAAACAAUCGGACCGAGACAGCUUGAUUCCCCAAAAGAUAAGAGAGAGAGCUCUAUGAAAUUAGGUAGCUAGGGUUUAUAAUACUUGAGCAAACCCUAAUCUUCUUCUUCACGAUCUUCAUCAUCUUCAAUUCUUUAUAAUAUUCGUCUUCUUUUUCUUCUUCUGCUUGUGAUUAAUAGUAGGGGUUUUGAUGAGUACUAAGUCAUGUGAUGAUGAUUUUUGUUGGGGUUGGUGGAUGAUAAGAAAUAAAGGAGGAGUAUAAUCAUGAUGAAACAAGCUGCUGCCGGAUAUUGAUGAAGCACAAGAGGAGGACAUCAUCAUUGCUCCUGUUGCCUUAAUUUCUAUAUCUCCUGUUGAAAUUAAACCAUAAGUAUCAUGGAGAAUUAUUAUCAAUUACUAAUAUUCUAAGGUUGCUAGCUAGUACUGCCUGCGUGCCCUAAUAUAAUUAGAGAGCUAGCUAGGCAUGCAUUGGUAACAACAAUUCUAUGCAACAAGUUGCAGCAUAAGGCCCGUGAGUCUCUGCCCAU